rnacentral:ncRNA from 21 species
AUAAAUUAUAAAGCGCCAGGGCAAAAUAUAAGUGUACCUAUAAUCAAAAGUUAAAUAUGAGAGCUUUUGUAGGGCAAUUUAUUUCUUUGCAGACGAGGAGAAUAGUCAUCGAAAAUAUCGGCGGAUGCUAUUCCGGAUGAGGCUCAUUCGUUAGCUUAUUAUUUAAAACAUUUAGGUAACUAAAUGCACAAAAAUAAUAAGAAUGCCUAAA